rnacentral:ncRNA from 1 species
AAAAAAAACCCCGCCAUCAUGGCGGGGGAAGACAGGGAUGGUGUCUAUGGCAAGGAAAAACAGGGACUACUCAGUCA